rnacentral:snRNA from 1 species
UCACGUUCGGCAGUAUAUAUACUAAAAUUGGAACGAUAAGAGAUUAGCAUGGCCCCUGUGCAAGGAUGACAGGCAAAUUCAUGAAGCGUUCCGUAUUUUU